AGAUAUGAGGGCGAUCUGGCUGUGACAUCUGUCACCCCAUUGAUCGCCAGGGUUGAUUCAGCUGAUCUGGAUGGCUAGGUGAGUGUCCCCUUCCUCCCUCACUGCUCCAUGUGCAUCCCUCCCAAAGCUGCAUGCUCAGUCAAAGAGGAUCACCUUGCCCGAAUAGAGGAGGACCCGUCUUCGGUCAAGGGUAUACAAGUAGCUGCGCUCCCCUGUCUAGAACCUCCAAACAAGCUCAAGGUCCAUUUUUUGCAACAGUGCCACUUAGUUACCUGAACUCAUUCUUAAUUAUGUGACCCAAAAUAAUAUAGUGGUAUGUCACAGAAA
rnacentral:snRNA from 1 species